CUUCAAUUUUUUUUUCGAAAGAAUUUGCACAAUAUUACACAACGCUCUAACCCACGGGAAAGUUAAACUGCAAAACAUUCUUUUACACUUAACCAAUGUAUUUCACAUAGGCUGUACAAAUCUGUUAAACCUCAGUCGCCCGUUGUCACCUGACUAGUAAUCCGCAUUAGUGUCACCGUAGUUCUUAGUCACAUAUUAUCUAAUCAUUUUUAAAAUCGCUGACCUCGAAGUCAUAAUCACAUACAGUUUGCAAUAGUUCCACAACAAUCAGCCACUGCAUUGAUUCACCUCAGCUUCCCAUUCAUCGGUACACGACACGCAGUUUACUUAUCAUAAAAUGACGUCGGAGUAAAGGCCGACCCAGACGAUGUGACUGCAUUUUGUAAGACAAUAUCUAUCACUAAUCCGUUUAAAAUCAUUUGAACUUAUCAUCAAUAACAAUUCAUCUGGAACAUAUCAUCAUCAUAAACAACAACAGUAUUAAUAAAAUAUCAUCAUCAUAAUCAACAUCAGUAUCAAUAACAUAUCACAGUUAUCAUUAUCAUCUCAAACGAAAUACCUUCCAUUACAUUAAUCAGAUGCGGGGAAAAAAGGAAAGUUUAGUCAAGAGAGAUUUCAAUGUUUCUUCCUUUCGUUUAAAGUCAAAAGCAAUUAAAGAACAAUGCGCAACGUUAACCAUGAAGAAACUAUAAAUUAACCUAUUCUAUUUCAAGUCAAUCAACUAACUUGCCGAAAGAUUGAUUAUGUUGCUGAGAAAUCAGUUAAGCAAAUAUGUCGCCUAGUGCGUGAUAUCGCCUCACAAUCCAGACGAAAUGUACUCAGGAAGUGCAAAGAACAAAACGGAAAAAAAAUUAAGAUAAUUCAGCUCGAGAACAGUAUCUCGGAGCCAGUGGCUUAUUGGAUCGCUCUAAUGAACAGAUGAAGGAUUUUUAAAUUUGGAUAUUUGUCAUUGCGAGUUCCAAUGUCCAGGUUAAAAUACGACCUUCACAUUUAAUUUGCUUUCCUUCGCGAGGCGCUACAGACUGGAUUCCAAAUAGGGUUCGGGUAAAGAUAACUGGAAAUUAUGAUUGAUCAUGAAGGCGGGCAUAUUGUAAACUCUUAUCCCUUAAGACUUGAACAAAAUCGAAAUAACAGUGAAACGUCGAAAGGCUAAAUUUUCCGUUUUUCCCUCUGCAGUCGCAUCG